GCGCCCGUAGCUCAGUCGGAUAGAGCAUCAGCCUUCUAAGCUGAGGGUCGUAGGUUCGAUUCCUACCGGGCGCGCCA
rnacentral:tRNA from 1 species